rnacentral:lncRNA from 12 species
CAGAGACCCCCUCUCAGGCUAUUUCUGAGUGGUCACCAGUACUUUUGGUGCAGGAAGAGCUCAGGAGAUUGCUUCAGGAUUCUAGUGCCCCUCCAAGAUCAGUGACAUUUUGUGGAGGACUCAGCAUCAGUUGAGAACUUAGUGAUCCCAUGGAUUUCUACAGGCAAGAUUUUCUUCAUCU